rnacentral:rRNA from 1 species
UACGAAGGGGGCUAGCGUUGUUCGGAAUUACUGGGCGUAAAGCGCACGUAGGCGGAUCGAUCAGUCAGGGGUGAAAUCCCAGGGCUCAACCCUGGAACUGCCUUUGAUACUGUCGAUCUGGAGUAUGGAAGAGGUGAGUGGAAUUCCGAGUGUAGAGGUGAAAUUCGUGGAUAUUCGGAGGAACACCAGUGGCGAAGGCGGCUCACUGGUCCAUUACUGACGCUGAGGUGCGAAAGCGUGGGGAGCAAACAGG